rnacentral:rRNA from 1 species
UGGGGAAUUUUGGACAAUGGGGGCAACCCUGAUCCAGCCAUGCCGCGUGAGUGAAGAAGGCCUUCAGGUUGUAAAGCUCUUUCGGCCGGGAAGAAAUCGGCGACUCUAACAUAGUCGCUGGAUGACGGUACCGGACUAAGAAGCACCGGCUAACUACGUGCCAGCAGCCGCGGUAAUACGUAGGGUGCGAGCGUUAAUCGGAAUUACUGGGCGUAAAGCGUGCGCAGGCGGUUUUGUAAGACAGAUGUGAAAUCCCCGGGCUUAACCUGGGAACUGCGUUUGUGACUGCAAGGCUAGAGUACGGCAGAGGGGGGUGGAAUUCCACGUGUAGCAGUGAAAUGCGUAGAGAUGUGGAGGAACACCGAUGGCGAAGGCAGCCCCCUGGGCCUGUACUGACGCUCAUGCACGAAAGCGUGGGGAGCAAACAG